rnacentral:rRNA from 1 species
AUUGAACGCUGGCGGCAUGCUUUACACAUGCAAGUCGAACGGUAGCAGCACUUCGGUGGCUGACGAGUGGCGAACGGGUGAGUAAUACAUCGGAACGUGCCUAGUAGUGGGGGUUAACUACUCGAAAGAGUAGCUAAUACCGCAUGAGAUCUAAGGAUGAAAGCAGGGGACCUUCGGGCCUUGCGCUACUAGAGCGGCUGAUGGGAGCUUAGGUAGUUGGUGGGAUAAAAGCUUACCAAGCCGACGAUCUGGAGCUGGUCUGAGAGGACGACCGGCCACACUGGAACUGAGCCACGGCCCAGACUCCUACGGGAGGCAGCAGUGGGGAAUUUUGGACAAUGGGCGCAAGCCUGAUCCAGCAAUGCCGAGUGCAGGAUGAAGGCCUUCGGGUUGUAAACUGCUUUUGUACGGAACGAAAAGCCCUCUUCUAAUACGGGGGGGUCAUGACGGUACCGUAAGAAUAAGCACCGGCUAACUACGUG